rnacentral:lncRNA from 1 species
CGAUCACCGCUCAGCUAACCCGUUGGAAAAUCAUCACAGAAUCGCAAGCGCAGCUCACAAGACAGUCGACCUCGCUUCUUCUCUUCUCCCUGCCGGCAGCCUCUCCUAUUCUUCUUGCUUCGACUGUUCCUGCGACUCCAGACUGCCGCGGCCAUGGGGAACCACAAGAAGCUGCUGCAGUUCCUGCGCCCGGACCCGGCGGUCGCGGCGGCGCCC